UACGGAGGGUGCAAGCGUUAUCCGGAUUCACUGGGUUUAAAGGGUGCGUAGGUGGGCAGGUAAGUCAGUGGUGAAAUCUCCGGGCUUAACCCGGAAACUGCCAUUGAUACUAUCAGUCUUGAAUACCGUGGAGGUAAGCGGAAUAUGUCAUGUAGCGGUGAAAUGCUUAGAUAUGACAUAGAACACCAAUUGCGAAGGCAGCUGGCUACACGAAUAUUGACACUGAGGCACGAAAGCGUGGGGAUCAAACAGG
rnacentral:rRNA from 1 species